GCGUUUUCGUCACGUUUGUCA
rnacentral:miRNA from 1 species